UGGGGAAUAUUGCACAAUGGGCGCAAGCCUGAUGCAGCCAUGCCGCGUGUAUGAAGAAGGCCUUCGGGUUGUAAAGUACUUUCAGCGGGGAGGAAGGUUUUGUGGUUAAUAACCUCAGCAAUUGACGUUACCCGCAGAAGAAGCACCGGCUAACUCCGUGCCCGCAGCCGCGGUAAUACGGAGGGUGCAAGCGUUAAUCGGAAUUACUGGGCGUAAAGCGCACGCAGGCGGUCUGUCAAGUCGGAUGUGAAAUCCCCGGGCUCAACCUGGGAACUGCAUCCGAAACUGGCAGGCUUGAGUCUUGUAGAGGGGGGUAGAAUUCCAGGUGUAGCGGUGAAAUGCGUAGAGAUCUGGAGGAAUACCGGUGGCGAAGGCGGCCCCCUGGACAAAGACUGACGCUCAGGUGCGAAAGCGUGGGGAGCAAACA
rnacentral:rRNA from 1 species